GAUGAACGCUGGCGGCGUGCUUAACACAUGCCAGUCGAACGAUGAAGCCCAGCUUGCUGGGUGGUUUAGUGGCGAACGGGUGAGUAACACGUGAGUAACCUGCCCUUAACUCUGGGAUAAGCCUGGUAAACUGGGUCUAAUACCGGAUAGGAGCGUCCACCGCAUGGUGGGUGUUGGAAAGAUUUAUCGGUUUUGGAUGGACUCGCGGCGUAUCAGCUUGUUGGUGAGGUAAUGGCUCACGAAGGCGACGACGGGUAGCCGGCCUGAGAGGGUGACCGGCGACAAGGGGACUGAGAGACGGAGCAGACGCGUACGGGAGGCAGCAGUGGGGAGUAUUGCACAAUGGGCGCAAGCCUGAUGCGGCGACGCCGCGUGAGGGAUGACGGCCUUCGGGUUGUAAACAUCUUUCAGUAGGAAAGAAGAGAAAGUGACGGUACCUGCAGAAGAAGCACCGGCUAACUACGUG
rnacentral:rRNA from 1 species